rnacentral:tRNA from 1 species
ACCUGGGUAGCUCAGUCGGUUGAGCAUCCGACUUCAGCUCAGGUCAUGAUCUCGCGGUUUGUGGGUUCGAGCCCCGCGUCAGGCU